AACGAACGCUGGCGGCAUGCCUAACACAUGCAAGUCGAACGAGAUCUUCGGGUCUAGUGUCGCACGGGUGCGUAACGCGUGGGAAUCUGCCCUUUGGUUCGGAAUAACAGUUGGAAACGUCUGCUAAUACCGGAUGAUGACGAAAGUCCAAAGAUUUAUCGCCAGAGGAGGAGCCCGCGUCGGAUUAGCUAGUUUGUGUGGUAAAGGCGCACCAAGGCGACGAUCCUUAGCUGGUCUGAGAGGAUGAUCAGCCACACUGGGACUGGGACACGGGAGAGAGUACUACGGGAGGGGGAAGUGGGGAAUCUUGGAAAAGAGGCGAAAGCCUGAUGCACCAAUGCCUCGUGAGUGAUGAAGGCCUUAUGGAUGUAAAGAUCUUUUACCCGGGAUGAUAAUGACAGUAGCGGGAGAAUAAGCUCCGGAUAACUCCGUGCCAGCCGCCGCGGUAA
rnacentral:rRNA from 1 species